UAUUUGCCUAUGAUGGUUAUAAAUAUACUUUGAGUAGUAAAAUACCAAGAAAAGAAUUUUCCUCUGAGGCUUUUG